CUAGAUUCUUCUGUACUCUUGAUUAUAUUACUGUGGUGUUACCAUAUCUACCCAUCAUCAGCAGACUUAAUCACCAUUCUCAGCAAGAGAACAUCCUGCUGAAAUCCACACCUGAUUGAUUUACGCACAACCAUGGAACAAGCAGAGAAUAAAACCAUAUCACCACAGAAGCAGACGGUCAAAAACAGGUCCAAAUCAACAGAUGAGGUGCAGCAAGCCAAAAAGGCCUUUCAUACACCACAGAAGUCUCUUCCUGCUCAACCAGAAACAGAGAAGAUGGAGGAAGAAGCCAGGGAGCUUACUGCUUCAUCAGAGGAGCUGAAGUGAUGGCACCACUCACACAUGAGUUACAGAAAUACUCAUGUAAAUUUGCUUUGUUGUACCAUUGUAGCUUUUGUCAUUAAACACAAAUUCAUUUUCAAAUUUGUUAGUCAAGUAUUGAGCAUGUCACAAUUCAGCUGCAAACCAGUGAGCAGAUGCUUCAAUUUCAUAUUUUUCCAACACAAAGUCUAAUCAUUAGUCCUGAAUAUGAUUCCUUUCUUACUUAUUAAUUUAUUUGCUUAUUUCAGCUUUGAUCGGCCGAAUUCAUACUGACAGUAAUUUUGGCCAGACUUAGUCUAUAUUUGGAAAACAAGCCCUGUAUUAAAAAUGUAAAAUGUUUACUCCUUGUUUGUUUAUGAAGAAAACAAGCAUUAUAAAGAAUUAUUGCUGAAUAUCA